rnacentral:antisense_RNA from 1 species
CGCGUUGGAGCCCGACCGGUGCGGCGCCUGCGCACUGGGACCAGGCUCCCGAGGCGCGGGGCCUGAGGCGGCCGGAACCGGAACGCGCGCCCGCAGGGUAGGAGACCUGGAGCUUCAGAACCCGCCCGCCAGAGUCGUAGUAAUGGAUGGGGAGUAGCCUUCCCAUUUUCAACACAUAUCUCAUUCUAAAUUGACGUUCUGGUGAGCUGGCCGAAGAAGGAGAAAGACCCGCGGCUGCGACCUCUGACCUCUAACCCCGGACGCACUUUGAUUUCGCCGGCUUGCGCUGAAGGCUGACUCCCUGGGCCGCAGCCUGGCGGGGGAGCCGCCUGUGGGGUGUCCCCGGCGCGGGAGGGUGCUCUGGUUCAGGCAGGUUCCCGUUGCAGCGGGGUUCCCCCGGUUGGGAGGAAUGCCCCUGCCGAGGGGAUGCUCCGGCUGGAGGGGGUGUCCCUAACGGCGGGGAUGCCUGGACUGGCGGGGGUGUCCCACUGGGGAGGGUUUCCCGGUGGGGAGGUGCCUGGCGGGGGAGCGGCUCCGGCUAAGCAUGGGUGUUCUGCUAGGAGGAUGUGUCUGGCUGGGGGCGGUGUCCCAACCGGGAGGGUUGCCCUGAUGGGGGAGGUUCCGCAGUUGUGGAGAUGCCAACUUGGGGGGUGCUCCGGUUGGGGGGUGUGCCCUCUCUGGUUACCCCGCUCUCCGCUACCACUCAUAUGCCUGCUGCCCAGAUAUGCACAAGCCAAGGCCUUUUCUGCAGACCAAGUAGCCUUCCCUGGAGAGCGCCCCCAGCACCACGGAAACUAUCUAUAUGCCCCGCGGUGGCCAGCCCGCCUUAUCCCAGCCCCGAGACCCAAAACAAGAAGCAUGGACUGAAUUUGAGGUUUCUGGAUGGUCGCGUGAACCGAGGGGACGGGUACUGGACUGACAAGAAAUGAGCCUUGAAGGUCAAUCUGGGUGACACCCGAGUCUCCUGAUGGAGUUUCACUAUGUUGCCCAGGCUGAUCUGGAACUCCUGACCUCAAGCGAUCCACCUGCCUCAGCCUCCCAAAGUACUGAGAUUACAGGUGGGAGCCACCGUGCCCGGCCUGGUCCUGUGCAUUUUAUAGAUAAGGUAACUGACAAACCUAGCCACAGUCACCCCUUCACCCUACAGGAGAAGUGGAAUUUGAACCCAGAGCCUUCUUCACCACCACCUCCAUUGUUUCUGGAAGCACCCUCCAGGCAGGCCAGCCAGCAUCACAGGGCCUCCCUUGGGGCUGGAACGUCUGCAGGAUGCCCCUUUGAGAAAUGCUGCUCCACAGAACCCUGCCUUUCAGGCCUUGGAGACGUGGGCAGGGGAGAAGCAGCGUCCCUCAGAGCCAGGCCUGGCAGUGGUGCCAGCAGGGGCCAAGGCCCAGGGAGCAGGGUCUCCUGUCAGAGGGACC